GCCUUGAGUAGUAAUUCCCUUGUGAUCAGGCAGACAGUGUUUUCUUUGUUUGUUUUAUUUCUAGUUUAGUUUAGUGUUUUUAAUAUACAACAACAUGUAAUUUUAAUAUACACCAUUUUAUGGACUAAGGUUUAGGAGGAUCCAGUCAUAUCAUUCCACUGUUGCAGAAUCCUUGAGUUCCAUCAAAGCAUUCUGGUUUGUUGCAUCUCUUAG
rnacentral:lncRNA from 1 species